CAGGGUAUGGCUCAGUGGCAGAGCACAUGCUUAGCAUGCACAAAGUCCUGGGUUCAAUUCCCCAGUACCUGU
rnacentral:tRNA from 1 species